rnacentral:rRNA from 1 species
AUUGAACGCUGGCGGCAGGCCUCACACAUGCAAGUCGAACGAGUGGCGGACGGGUGAGUAAUGUCUGGGAAACUGCCCGAUGGAGGGGGAUAACUACUGGAAACGGUAGCUAAUACCGCAUACCAUCGGAUGUGCCCAGAUGGGAUUAGCUAGUAGGUGGGGUAACGGCUCACCUAGGCGACGAUCCCUAGCUGGUCUGAGAGGAUGACCAGCAACACUGGAACUGAGAGACGGUCCAGACGCCGACGGGAGGCAGCAGUGGGGAAUAUUGGACAAUGGGCGCAAGCCUGAUGCAGCCAUGCCGCGUGUAUGAAGAAGGCAUUCGGGUUGUAAAGUACUUUCAGCGAGGAGGCGUUACUCGCAGAAGAAGAACCGGCUAACUCCGUGCCAGCAGCCGCGGUAAUUC